UGGACUACAAAUCCCAGAGGCACCUGAAAACAGGAAGAGGAAGGGAUGAUGCAACCCCAUAGAGUCUGACUGCUAUAAUUCUGGACUGCAAAUCCUAGAGACUUUGGGGGCAGCAAGAAGAGGAAAUGAACACACAGCUAGAAAGCCUUGCUCUAGCACCCCCAACUUCUGGCUUAAGCUGCUAUAGGCAUGUGGCUGCAUUUCCUAAAUCAAAGAGAGAGAGUUAUCCUGCACACUUCUGACUUAAGAAAUAAAAUGGAUUUGAGCACAAAGACAAAAGAAGGGCAACUUCAUAUGUGACAGCUGCCAUUUGGCUGAUGCUAGUGCAUGAACCAAGGACCUCCUGAGCUGAAACUGGUAAAGCUGCCACAAUCUGAGCUAAAGGAUGAAGCUAUGUAACUUGCUUUAUAACAGAUUCACAUCCUCUGGGUAUCUAGAUCAAAGGGGAGCAGGUGCAAAACACACUGACCAACAGCUUUCACAGGCAAACUUGUAAAUAAAACUGAUCAGAAGCAAAUGCUAAAAAGAAUUGUUAAAAAUAACAACACAAAGAGAAUGAUCUCAUUUUUUUCACCUGUGAUUUUAUAGGUGUAAAUAACUGAUGUGCAAAUUAACUUAUUUUGACAUCUGAGUAUAUGAUUUGCCAGGUUAAUCAUGUACUUUGAUGUCUAAGUUACCUAAAUUGUUCCUAGAAUUAAUUGCAUGAACAAUGCGGAAUGCCCCAUUAAUGUCAGAUUGUAAACACC